rnacentral:rRNA from 1 species
UGGGGAAUAUUGCACAAUGGAGGGAACUCUGAUGCAGCGACGCCGCGUGAACGAAGAAGGCUUUCGAGUCGUAAAGUUCUUUUAUAUGGGAAGAUAAUGACGGUACCAUAAGAAAAAGCCCCGGCUAACUACGUGCCAGCAGCCGCGGUAAUACGUAGGGGGCUAGCGUUGUCCGGAAUCACUGGGCGUAAAGGGUUCGGAGGCGGAAAUGCAAGUCAGGUGUAAAAGGCAGUAGCUUAACUACUGUAAGCAUUUGAAACUGCAUAUCUUGAGAAGAGUAGAGGUAAGUGGAAUUUUUAGUGUAGCGGUGAAAUGCGUAGAUAUUAAAAAGAAUACCGGUGGCGAAGGCGGCUUACUGGGCUCAUUCUGACGCUGAGGAACGAAAGCGUGGGUAGCAAACAGG